rnacentral:lncRNA from 1 species
AUGGGAAGGAAGAAUAGCAAAACUGUGGAAACAAAAUGCAAAUUUAAACGCAAAAAUGGUCUUCCAGGACAAGUCUUGAAAUUAUUGCCUGUAGAAACUGGGAUAUUUUCCCUUUCAGAGACUUGGAAGAACCUUGAAAACUGCUUUUCCUCUCUAGAGGAGAUUGCCCCCACCCCCUCCAUUUUUGCCAAGGUCUUCUGGAAACACAGCAACUCCCAGACAUGGCUGAAGGAUGCAUCCAUGGCUCAGGCUGGCCAACCAAAACCAGCUGGCAGUCUCCCCAGCACCGCAACAAUAACAAUAAAGACAGGCCAGUCUGACUUUUCAGGGUUUGUUUUCAAUCAAAAUACAUGUCUGCUAUCACAAUAGGCUGCCCCCUUACUUCACACCUGCUAAACCUGUGCUGCUGUGUCUUUACUGCUGUUCUUACCAAUGCUAAUUAAAACUAGCCCCGGGUUUGCCUCUACACGCUGCAGUUGUUUGAGUGUGUGGGCAAGCCCCGAGGUCCCAGGCCUUUUAGAAGUGUGAAUGAAGCCCUCUGUCUCAGGAGCAAUCCGAGAGCUGCUGUGACCAUUUUGGGGCAUGCAGCAGUUCAUUCUCACUGGAGCAAAGUUGAUGAUUAAAUGAGCCAGUGCAUUCUGUACAGCUGCAGAUGCUUGGCUGAUUGACAGUGGAGCUCUGAGCAAAAAACCAAAGGGAAGGACUACUAGAAAUUAGGAUAUUGCAGUCAGUGGAAGCCCAUUUACACAGAUUUACAAAGGGAACUUAACAUUAAAUUUCCAUGCACGCAGAGCUUUGCUGUUCAAGUAUACACUUGGCACAUUCUUGCCAUUUGCCAUAAAUUAUCUGACUUGUUUACACCCACUUUUAGAAUUUUCUCGGGCCAUAUUAUUUGACCCAGAUUGUUACUACUUAGCACCAAACCACUUGAACUAAGAAUUUCUACAGGAAACUUGAAGGGGCUUAGAAGUACCAAAGAAAAGUGCAGAUUCAGACUUUCAUAAAGCUGCUUAGCUGGAAAGAAUUGCCAGAAAGUAUAUUUGUGCUAAUGUAAGCCAAUUUUUCUGAAUUAAUUUUGAAACAAUUCAUCAUUUAUCCUCCUCACCUCCUUCCAAUUUACAGCAGACUCUAAACAUAGCCAGGACACUGCAAGCAGAUGCUAGAACACUUUCCUUUUAAGAAAGACGAUGGCGUGACUUCAUACCUCUAUAAACUUCACUAUAUUUGGUAAAGAUUUCAUAAAGGUUUGCAUUCCGUGACCACUACAGGAGCAGUGAUGGUCAUUUCUGUAUUCCUUGAAGAGCUACAAAAAUUAACCCAGCACCCAAAACAUAUAUAGAAGGCAAGUAUCUUACAGUCAGCUUAUCUCUUUCUAAUAUUAUUAAAUUACAGAAGCAACCAGGCAGAUAUAACACUUCAGUGAUCCAGUGACUUUAGUAACAGUUGUACUGUCUUAUUUGGCAUCUCAACUUGUCUCUGAAUAUAACCAAAAGGGAUUUUGUUUUGUAAGAAUGUGGCACACAAAGAGCAGAAGAAUUAAGAGCCUUUUAGCAAUCUCAAGUUGUCACAGUUUCAGUUUUGUAAAACUUAACACAUGCACCGUACAGAAAUUAAAAGCACUGAAAUGAACAGCUGGUGGUAGUCAGGUAGAGAUUAGACUUCUUUCUCAUUAAAGAUAAAUACAAAGAAGCACUACAGAAUUACUUUAGGCUAAUGAAGGAUGAACUCAAACAUCACCACAAAAGUAAACGCUCUUGAAAAAGACAUGACAAGUCACUUCUAGUACAAAUGUACUGGGCAAGCCCCUUUUAGAGACAGGUUGUGCUUGUAAAUGCAGGCAGAUUUCUCAGCAUAUGAAGGACAAACCUCAAAAAUUUCAGCCAGUUAAACAAGACUCACCAGACAAAACCAAUGAAUUCUGAAACACAUUUACAAGACAACUUUUCUAGCUGAAGGUAUUCAACCACAAGAUGCUGGUGAGUAACAAAUCACGUCUGUACAUGCAGUGUUUUAAGAAUCCAAUUUUCUCUGUUCUUCUGGAAACAGAAGUAUCACAAGCCUGUGAUGGCAGAAAAUUCCCCAAAGAAAAAUCUGUGUUAAGAACCUCAGAGACCAAAAUUUUCUUCAAAAUGAGGCCAAAUUUCAAGACUAGUUCUGAAGACUACUGUUAUAAAAAUAAUAGAGAAACUAGAACUCUAUUUAGUUGUUUUAUAAAAGCCAAGGCAGCAAUGGUUGGGACUUGCUAUUUGUUUUGGUAAGCAGACGACAAGGCCAAUACAAUGUGUUUAAUAAGUGGAGCUUCAAGUAUACAGAAUGUGUACAGACUUUUUUUAAUGUAACCAAUGAAGUCAUGGCCCACCAGGUACAAGCAAAUUUUAAAUUUAUGACAAAAUAAAAUGUUAUGAAAAAUAAAGUCCA